GCAAGAACAAUUAAUACUCGAUAAAGUUGCACACAAUUAUAAAUCAUCCUUAAUUUGUACAAGCAAAAGUUGUUACAUAUAUAAUUAAAUUAACACAAAAAACACAAAGUAAUGAUUAAGUUGAGAUUAUGAUUUAAUUAAUUAAGUGGGUAUUUAGCAGUAAUUAAGGAUCCAACUGAAACUCUUUUAAAGCUAUCUUCUCAUAGAGAAGAAAGACCUUAGCUUUGUAUGGAUAUCUAUCAAAAUGUCAUAUAGAUAACCAUAGAAGGACGCGCAUGGCUUGCACGCGCGAGAAUGGAGGUUCUUCUUCUCUCUUUCAUUGUGAUUGCUGAGUACAGAGAGAGAGAGAGAGAGA
rnacentral:misc_RNA from 1 species